GCUACUGACGGGCCAAGAGUCGGAGUAAUACGGAGGUGGAGAUCGUAAUCCGGAAUUACUUGGUGUAAAGGGAGCGCAGGCGGGAUAGCAAGUCAGCUGUGAAAACUAUGGGCUCAACCCAUAAACUGCAGUUGAAACUGUUAGUCUUGAGUGGAGUAGAGGCAAGCGGAAUUCCGAGUGUAGCGGUGAAAUGCGUAGAUAUCACGAAGAACUCCGAUUGCGAAGGCAGCGUGCCGGAGUGCAACUGACGCUGAAGCUCGAAAGUGCGGGUAUCGAACAGGAUUAGAUACCCUAGUAGUC
rnacentral:rRNA from 1 species